UACGAAGGGGGCUAGCGUUGCUCGGAAUCACUGGGCGUAAAGCGCACGUAGGCGGAUUGCUAAGUCAGGGGUGAAAUCCUGGAGCUCAACUCCAGAACUGCCUUUGAUACUGGCGAUCUUGAGUCCGGGAGAGGUGAGUGGAACUGCGAGUGUAGAGGUGAAAUGCGUAGAUAUCAAGAGGAACACCAGUGGCGAAGGCGAGUCCCUGGACGAUACCUGACACUGAGGCACGAAAGCUAGGGGAGCAAACAGG
rnacentral:rRNA from 1 species